UACAGAGACUGCAAGCGUUAUUCGGAUUCACUGGGCGUAAAGCGUGCGCAGGCGGUUUGCUAAGACAGGGGUGAAAUCCCCGGGCUUAACCUGGGAACUGCGCUUGUAACUGGCAAGCUGGAGUGUGGCAGAGGGGGGUGGAAUUCCACGUGUAGCAGUGAAAUGCGUAGAGAUGUGGAGGAACACCGAUGGCGAAGGCAGCCCCCUGGGCUAACACUGACGCUCAUGCACGAAAGCGUGGGGAGCAAACAGG
rnacentral:rRNA from 1 species